rnacentral:tRNA from 1 species
CAGUUUAAUAGUUUAAUAUAAGAAUGCGGGUUUUGGGGACCUGAGGUCUCUUUUGGAGUAAAUUGA